CUUCUCUUUCUAUACACAGAAUAUUUGGAGGCUUCAGGAAGGAGGAAUCACAGGGUAAAAAAGGCACCAACCAAGACCCGCUCUGCGUUUGUACACGAGCAAGGAGCAGGCUUUAUUCCUGAAGCCACUGAUGUUGCAGUCGGGUGAUGGCAGCAGGGUGCGUUACCCUAACAAUCCGAUCUCGUGGACUUGAGCAACAGCGAGUGGACACAGAGCAGCUGUCUGUGGGCCCACUGAAGACUCUCAGUGACUUGUCAGGACACUGGACGAGGGUGACAUUUCAUAGUUCCAUAACAGGGAUGGGCAGAGCUGCCUCAGUGGCUGCAGGACCCUCAUCCAACCCCGAGAGAGGGAACCCUGAGAAUGGCUGAAACUGGACUUCCUGUCACAUACAAAUAGGUUUGAAAUGACCGACAGCAGCAGCACACGUUCUCCAGUUCCCCACCCUGGCAAGUUGGCGGGAGGUCAGUUCCAGGGUUAAGAGUGCUGCCUCCUGUCCUCCGUGUCUCUCUCAUGUCUCAGGCGAGGGCAGGCCUGUCUUCUGAUUCUGGACGUGCAGAACGAACCACGGGAAGGAGCCACCAGGGUCUGUACCCUGCGUUAUACUCCAGCAGUGCUAAGAAUCUGGCUGGGUUCUGACUACUUGGGAAGCCCACCACCUUUAGCAUGCAUGCACGCACGCACUUCUGCCCAGGACCUACGUUUUGAAUGAAGCUGAGUCUCCUACAUCUUUUGGAAAAGCAAAAGCCGAGACGGCUCCAGUUUCCAGACACUUGGCAGAGUUGAGAGUUGUGGCGGCCGGGCCUACACAUCCUCCAGAUGUUGAAACAUGUUAGACCGGGACCACCCCCCCUCCAAGGUUUUUUCGGGCCAAUGACGGAUGUGGCAGGGUUAUGGAGGUGACUGAAGACUGGAGAUGCUCAGGAGGCGCUGAAGUAACAGAGACUACUUGAGCAGCAGAGGAGGCGGCACAGUGCAAGUCCUUCACCUCCGUUCCACCCUGGCCCUGAGGAAACUGGUCCACCAGGAGGCACAAGAACGGCUGGGUUUCCCCCGACUGUGAGUUCCACGUCUACAUGGUCAACCAGCUGCGGAUGGAGAGGAAAAGACUGAUCUGGAAUGUGGUACAGGCACAUUCAUUCCUGUCACCCCAGUAAAGGAGGAUCCCGAAUCUGAGGCUGGUCUGGCUACACGGAGUGCAAUGAGACAGACUGAUUCUCCUGCCUUGCUGUCUGAUUUACUUACUUCUCGAGGAUAAAUGACAUUCAGGAGGGGCUGCUGCUCAGAAUCCCAGGGCCCUAGAAGAAAAGGCCUUUGCAUGUCUUAGAAAUGCCAGUUCUGUUUAGUCUCAGCGACGUCACCCAGCCUGUGCAACAUCCUGCAUUCUUGUUCUGCUCUGCUCCUGUGCUCUCUGGGAAGGCAGCUUCUUGGAUGGCUCUGUAUUGCUGCACUUGCCUAAAAGUGACACCAUCCUUCAGGGCUCCUGCUUCAUGAAAGAGUCUGCCAUGCAUUCUGCAGGAUACAGAAGAAAAUGACUGACAAACUGACAAUAUAGGCAGACCUGUCUUUGAAAUUUCCUACUUUAUGAAAAAAUCUGUUGGAUACUAUAGGCCUGUAGGCUGAAGAUGGAUGACCCAAUGGUACAGAAGAACUUUGGGUGACUUCUGGAGUCUUUGAUGAUGUUGAAGAAUUUAUAGUUAUAGAUAUAUAGAUAUAGUUAUAUGAUAUAGUUAUUAUGAAAGAUAAAGUAGAUGUAAACAUUGUAACUAAUUCUUGCUUGAUAACUGUUUUGUUAUAUGUAAUUUUACUAUGUUAAAAAAGGGGGUGGUGAUUUGGGAGGUGAUGUAUGCUGGAAUACCAUUGGUUAAUAAAGAAACUGUCUUGGGCCUGUGCAGGGAAUAGAGGUAGGCUGGGAAAGCUAGACUGAAUGCUGAGAGAAAGAGGGUGGAGUCAGGGAGAAGCCAUGGAGCUGCUGCUGGAGUCAGACAUGCUGAAACUUUGCUGGUAGGUCACGACCUCAUGGCGACACACAGAUUAAUGGAGAUGGGUUAAAUUAAUAUGUAAGAGUUAGCAAAUAAGAAGCUAGAGCUAAUGGGCCAAGCAGUGAUUUAAAUAAUACAGUUUCUGUGUGAUUAUUUCAGGUCUGAGCUGCCAGGUGGCCAGGAAACAAACAAGCGACCUAUUAUAACAGCUCUGUAUUAAAACUCAGCUUAGGUGUCUUGCCUUUACCCCCACGCAGCAUGUGAACUGAUCUGUGUGGUUCUGUGGAUCAGUGACAGGAUGGGGUUAAGAGAAAAAUCUGCUCCUUGUACAGAUUAAUCCAUGAUUGGUAAAGCAUUCAUCAACUUGUAGGAAAGAAUAUAAAUGCCCGUCAAGGGACAGUCACGUUGCUGACACAGUGUUGGGUAUUUGGGGGCAGUUCCGUUGAGCUCCCAGACAGUCUCCAAGCUGGUAACCCCACGGCUCCCUGCCUCACACGCAGCUCAACUCCAGGCAGUUGUUCAGCUGGUUGGUAUUACAAAGUGCAGCCAGCUGAUCACAUUUAAUGGCUCGAAUAGACCUCUGAUAAACUUUUUAUUUUAAAAAAAAAAAAGGGGGCAAUGGCUUCACCAAGGCAGUAGGGUUAUCUUGCAUAUGAGGAAAGCAUGGGCAACCUAGUAAGACCUUGCCUAAUGAAAGCAAACAAACAAACAAACAAAUAGAAAACCAAAUCUAGGGUUGGGACUUCACAGGAAGGGUAAACACCUAAUGUGUUUGUUACAAAAAGAAAUGCCAGACAGACAUGAUGCUGUGUAAUCCUGUACUUUAUCCAUGUGUGCCCAGCGCAGGAAUAUAGGAGGAAGUGCACAGACUUGCCCUCCGCACACUCUUAGGAGAUGGCUCCAGACUACAGGUGGGACCGGCCCUAUGUCCUCCGUGAUUGCAUAUAUAUGCAAAGCUAUAAAACGACAACAAACAAACACAAAAAACACAAACCUUUUUCUUUUUUUUUUUUUGUUUUUGUUUUUGUUUUUGUUUUUUGAGACAGGGUUUCUCUGUAGCUUUGGUGCUUGUCCCGGAACUAGCUCUUGUAGACCAGGCUGGCCUCGAACUCCCAGAGAUCCGCCUGCCUCUGCCUCCCGAGUGCUGGGGUUAAAGGCAUUUUUGCCACCACAAGAUGUGGUGGUGGCACACGCCUUUAAUCCCAGCCUGGCUUUCUUCACUUUUUAAAAAUCACAGCUGCAGUGAUUAUGUAUUUAUGCUGAGAACUAUUUUGUUUUUGUUCUGUGGUCUUUCACCUACUUAUCCAAUAACCUUUAAAGCCCAAAUCUUCACAUUCUCCUAUAACAGAGACAAACCACUUUUAGUUCUCGCCCUUCCUUUCUCACAUCUUGUGACAAAUAUCUAUCUAGCUAUCUAUCCGGCUUAGUUAAGGUUUUUAUUGCUGUAAAGAGACACCAGACUAUGACAACUCUUAUCAUUUAAUUGGGGUGGCUUACAGUUUCAGGGAUUUAGUCCAUUAUCAUCGUGAUGGGGAGCCUGGCAGCGUGCAGACAGACAUGAUGGUGGAAUAGCUGAGACCCAUACAUCUUGCAGGCAACAGGAAGUUGACAGACAAUCACACUGAGAGAAGUUUGAACAAAAGAGACCUCAAAGCCCACCCCCACAGUGGCACACCUCCUCCAACAAGGCCACACCUCCUAAUAGUGCCGCGCUGUUUGGGGGCCAUUUUCUUUCAAACCGCGGUUCUCUGCCUGCCUUUCUCUGUGACAGUGCCAUGGAGCAGUCAUGUUGGCAUUUCUUUCUGCACCUUGUAUACAGUUACCUCAUCCAAGGCUCAAGGAAACCGAGGUAAAGGGGAUGAGAAGAAUUUAAGAGCCAAACGAUGAGAAACCCUUCUGUGGGACAGUCUUCUGGACAUGUCACAGGAGCAGUGGCUACCCACUGACACAAGACUGGGCAAGUCAAUGACCCACUCUGGAGGAGGACAGGGCUCAUAAGGGCCACGCCUUCCAGAGGAGUCAUAGGCAGUUAAUGGUUGCUAGGAGAUGAGAAGUCAUAUUCCUUAGUGGUGUAGACAUUGGGAAAUUGCCUUUGUUCAAGUAAAUAACUCCCUAGCCAUGCUCAUGAAGACGAUUCUAACCAAAUGCAGUGGGCCACAAACAAAGACAUGAACAUAAGUGUGGGGGUUCUCACUGUGGGAGGUUAAGAGGAUAGUAAUGGGGUGUGAUCCAAGCCUAGCUAUAGAGAGAUGUAGGUAUAGCUAUAUACGUGAAUAUAUAAUAGAUUUGAAAAGGGAAGCAAAACACCCCCAACACUCUGCCACCCAGUGUUUUCAAUUCUCCAUGAGAACUGUCUUUUAGUUUCAUUUCGUUUUGUUUUCUGCAUCGAAAGAAACUUUCAUAAAUGAGUAAGAGGCAACUCAAGAACCCAGCUGAGGGCCUGAAUAAGCAAUUCCCAGAAAAAGAAACACAAAUGGCUUUUAAACGUGAAAAAUGCUUAGACUAGAUGCUUGUUAAAGGGAAAAAAAAUUAAAAGUUGUGUAAGAAAUGCAACCUGAUCCACAGCCUGGCUUGGCCACACAUAAUAUUGAUACUCUAAAUGUAACCGGCCAGCGAACAGAAUGGACUGGGAAUGGUCCAGCUACAGACCUCUCUGUCACCUCCGUUCUUCCACCCUGCCUCCUGAGUGCUAGGAUUAAGAUGCUCAGUCUUUGUGCAGGCAUGCACGUGUGUGUGUGUGUGUGUGUGUGUGCGCGUGUGCGUGCAUGUGGGGGUGUGCAUGUGUGUGCGAGUGUGUGUUUAAACACCAUAAAGGACAAUUUGCAGGGGUCUGUUCUUUGCUUCCACCGUGUGGAGCCUGGCAAUCAAACUCCAGUUGUCCCACUUUUUAAAUUGUGGGUUCUGGGGAUGGAUUGAGGUCCUUGUAGGUGCAGGACAACGUUUUACCUCCUGAGCUAUUUCCCCAGCCUUCUCAUAGGUUAUUGCAAAAAUCAAAAUCCAUGACACAUGUCACAUGCUUAGACAUGCAUGAGACUGUUGUCCUUGUCAUUGUUGCUGGUUUUCUUCCGACUGGUCAUGGGAUGUAACUUUGUCCUGUAGGGAUGACCUCUACCCAUCCCCAGUGAGCCUGUUAGCCAUGACUCUCCUGCUGUCUGCUGUACAACUCAAGAGUGUGGCUGACAUGAACUAUAAUAGAAUAACCUACUUCAUACAACACUUGCAUAACUUCCUGAGGAGGUCUUUGCCAUUUUCCUUACUGCUUAUAGGUCACUGUGUCAGUAAAAUAACAGGCCAGUGUGGUUCAGCUUCACCCUGAUGCCAGUUGACUAUGUUCUCAGACAUCGACAAAUAAAUCGCUGGCCUUGGGCAUAGCACUAAUUCAGACAGCUGGGUCAGAACACGGGCCAGUUGCCCUUCAAGACCUGCGAGCUAGAAAGAACCUUUGCGGUAUUCUUAAGGGUGUGUGAAAAAUCAGACUCAAAAUAAAACCUGAUAUGAACAAAACCAAAGACUUCAGAGACUGGCAUGUGUAUCUUAAAUCCCCCACUGGUGGGACUGGAGGGCUCCCCUCAAUACCAGUCCUAAUAACUGGAGAGGUAUACACUGCGCCUACGAUGUGCAGAGCUGCUGAUGGCCCGAGCAGAUAAUGGUACAGAAGAAGAUGAUGGGAAAGUGUUGCCGAUGUGAUUUCAUUUAUGUUAUAAUAAUGACAAGCCAGUGCGUCUCUAGAUCCGUAAAAAAAUGCAUAAAGGAAGUUCACUUAAGUAUAGUGUGGUUGUCUCUGAGUGGUAGAAUUUAGUGCGAUUUCUUUUUUCUCUUUUUACUUCUUUUUCACUGUAAGUUACAGAACUAAAAGAACUUUGUUGAAAUCUACAAACACAUCAUUUUUGUAGUCUAGAUACAACAAAACCCACAUUUUUCUGAAGAAUAAUAUAUAUGUUAAUAUAUAUAUAUAUCCUUUCUAAGCUCAGCUAACCUUCUGUGCCUCAGUUUCUCCCAUCAUAAAACAGACAGGAAUAGUCUCUUUAAGAUUAUAAAAAUCAAAUUCUUUAAUAUGUGCAAAAUUCUUGGAACUCAAAAUACUGGAAUAUUUAAUGCUACUUGUGUAGGGUUUUCCACAGACACAGGAACAAGAAUAUACAGAGACAAAAAAGGAGAGAUUAUAGAACUGGGCCCCAUGAUUAUGGAUGCCAGGAAGCUUCAGCUGUACUCUGCAAGCUGAAAACCUGGAAAAUUGAUCCAGAAGCCUGAGUCCCCAGGGGCCAAAGAUUCCCCAACUGGAGUCCCAGCCCAACGUCCAUUCACUCCUCCCUCUGCCUUUUUGUUCUAUCCAGACUCUCAGUAGACUGGAGAACAAGCUUAUACACUGGUGAGGGCCAUGCCUUCUACCGGUCUAUCCAUCUGAAUACUAAUCUCUUCUAGAAACUCCCUCACAAAUGCCUAUAAACCACGUCUUACCAGUUAUGAGAGAGUCCGUUCCUCCAGGGAAGCUGACACAUGGCAUUGUAGAUGGUGAUGGCUGGUGGUGCUUUUCUUAAAGCUCCACACCAUGCAAUGGUGUAGAUAGAACAGGAAUUACAGGAGCAAGGAUAAUGACAAAUUGCUGUUGCAAGGCCAUGAGCUAGACGUGUGAUAAUUGGGAAGAAAGCGGUGGUCAUUGUUGACACAUUUCUACGGUUAGGACGACUGCAGUUGCUUGGCAACUACAAGAAGUGCUUUGCUGAGAUUGUUUUAUCUAUUAUUAGUGUGUGUCCCUGUAUGCAGGUGAGGGCCCCAGCCAUCAGAGGUCAUCUUUGUGGAGUCCAUUCUUUCUCCACCUCCACCUGAGUUCCAGGCAUUGAACUCGGGUCCUUCAGCUUGAGCAGCCAGUGUCCCACCCACUGAGCUAUCUCAUUGGUCCAGGAAAAAUGAACUUUUUUUUCAAGACAUGGUUUCUCUGUGUAACUACCCUGGCUGUCCUGUACUAACAUGCCCGGCUAAUAGACUCAUUUUUAAAUUGAUAAAUUUCAAAACCAUGUUCUAGAUUCAUAAUGAAACAAGCGAUCUUUACAAACUGCAGUGAGGGGCUCUUCACAGCACACAAGGGUACACGCUGCAUGUGUGCAGUGCAGUUCAGGAUUCCAAGCUCUGCACAUGGUCCUGAAUCUCAGCUUUAUAUAGGAAAUACUUGUCUCUGGCUCUCCAUAGUGCCACCCCAACUCAGCUGCGUCUGCCUUCUGCUGAUUAGGGCAUCUGGACUUGAACUCCAGGUCCAGGUUAUGUCAUGAGAUGACAACUGAUGAAGAAUGUGGAAGCAAAGGCGAGUCAUCCUCCAACCUUUGCAGAGGACCCAGGUGAAGAAACCCGGGUGAAAAAGAGGGAGACACUGGCUCAAAAAACAAAAAACAAAAACAA